rnacentral:rRNA from 1 species
UACAGAGGUCUCAAGCGUUGUUCGGAUUCAUUGGGCGUAAAGGGUGCGUAGGUGGCGUCGUAAGUCGGGUGUGAAAUUUCGGAGCUUAACUCCGAAACUGCAUUCGAUACUGCGGUGCUUGAGGACUGGAGAGGAGACUGGAAUUUACGGUGUAGCGGUGAAAUGCGUAGAUAUCGUAAGGAAGACCAGUGGCGAAGGCGGGUCUCUGGACAGUUCCUGACGCUGAGGCACGAAGGUCAGGGGAGCAAACGGG